rnacentral:rRNA from 1 species
AGAUUGAACGCUGGCGGCAUGCCUUACACAUGCAAGUCGAACGGCAGCACGGACUUCGGUCUGGUGCGAGUGGCGAACGGGUGAGUAAUAUAUCGGAACGUACCCUGGAGGUGGGGAUAACGCAGCGAAAGUUGCGCUAAUACCGCAUACGAUCUACGGAUGAAAGUGGGGCUCGCAAGACCUCAUGCUCGUGGAGCGGCCGAUAUCGUGAUUAGCUAGUUGGUAAGGUAAAGCCUACCGAAGGCAUCGAUCAGUAGCUGGUCUGAGAGGACGACCAGCCCAACGACUGGGACCUGA